CCUACGGGAGGCAGCAGUGGGGAAUAUUGCACAAUGGGGGGAACCCUGAUGCAGCGACGCCGCGUGGGUGAAGAAGCACCUCGGCAUGUAAAGCCCUAUCAGCAGGGAAGAAAAUGACGGUACCUGACUAAGAAGCCCCGGCUAACUACGUGCCAGCAGCCGCGGUAAUACGUAGGGGGCAAGCGUUAUCCGGAUUUACUGGGUGUAAAGGGAGCGCAGACGGUGCAGCAAGCCAGACGUGAAAGGUCGGGGCCCAACCCCGGGACUGCAUUGGAAACUGUUGGGCUGGAGUGCAGGAGGGGUAGGCGGAAUUCCUGGUGUAGCGGUGAAAUGCGUAGAUAUCAGGAGGAACACCGGUGGCGAAGGCGGCUUGCUGGACUGUAACUGACGUUGAGGCUCGAAAGCGUGGGGAGCAAACAGGAUUAGAUACCCUUGUAGUC
rnacentral:rRNA from 1 species